GUAACCUAUACAGCACCUAAUGUAUACCCAGACCACAGAAUUCUAAUAGGUAGCAUCUAUACAGCACCUAAUGUAUGGACAGACCGCAGAAUUCUAAUUGGUAGCAUCUAUACAGCAUCUAUUGUAGGCCCAGACCCCAGAAUUCUAAUAGCUAGCAUCUAUACAGCACCUAAUGUAUUCGCAGACCCCAGAAGUCAAAUAGCUAGCAUCGAUAAAGCACCUACCGUAGGCCCAGAAACCAAAAUUCUAAUAGGUAGCAUCUUUACAGCAUGUAAUGUAUGCCCAGACCACAGAAUUCUAGUAGGUAGCAUCUAUUCAGCACCAACUGUAUGCCCAGACCACAGAAUUCUAAUAGGUAACAUCUCUAUCGCACCUACCCUAGGCCCAGACACUAGAAUUCUAAGGGAAAGCAUCUAUACAGCACCUAAUGUAUGCCCAGACCCCAGAAUUCUAAUAGGUAGCAUCUAUACAGUACCUACUGUAUGCCCACAUGGUAAAAUUCUAGUAGCUAACAUCUAUAUAGCACCUAAUGUAUGCCCAGACCCCAGAAUUCUAAUAGGUAGCAUCUAUACAGCACCUAAUGUAUGCCCAGACCACAGAAUUCUAGUAGGUAGCAUCUAUACAGCACCUAAUGUAUGCCCAGACCCCAGAAUUCUAAUAGGUAGCAUCUAUACAGCACCUAAUAUAUGCCCAGAGCACAGAAUUCUAAUAGGUAGUAUCUAUACAGUACCUACUCUCUGCCCACAUGGUAGAAUUCUAAUAGCUAACAUCUAUACAGCACCUAAUGUAUGCCCAGAUGCUAGAAUUCUAAUAGGUAGCAUCUAUACAGUAACUCUCCACACCUACCGCUGGCCCAGACCCUAGAAUUCUAAUAGCUAGCAUCUAUAUAGCACCUAAUGUAUGUCCAGACCCUAGCAUUCUAAUAGGUAGCAUCUAUACAGCACAUGUUGUAGGCCUAGAUACAAGAUUUCUAAUAGUUAGCAUCAAUAUAGCACUUGCCAUAUGCCCAAUUCCCUGAAUUCUAAUAGAAAGCAUCUAUACAGCACCUAAUGUAUGUCCAGAGCACAAAAUUCUAGUAGCUAGCGUCUUUACAGCACCUACUGUAGGCCCAGACCCCAGAAUUCUAAUAGGUAGCAUCUAUACAGCACCUAAUGUAUGCCUAGUACUGGACAACUGUUAUGUCAUUUGUUCUCACAAUCCACAUUUUACAGAUUAUGAGGUUGAGGCAGAUACAGGCAAGUGACUUGCUGUGGUCACCUAGGUAACAAGUGUCUGCAGCUGUAUUAUUCUUUUGUUUGGCCCUCACAAUAGCCCUGUAAGUAACUGCUAUUAUGAUCUAAGUUUACAGUUGGGUAAAUUGGGGCAGAUGGGGUAAAUUUUCACGCCCAAGGUUGCGCACCUAGUGUCUGCGGCCAGAUUGGACGUUGGGUUUUCCUAAUUCUGGGCCUACUGCUCCCUGACCGUUGGUGCUUCUUGGAUCCUGGGUCUUGGACUUCCCUUUCCGCUAUUAAGUUCAUGAAGCUAACGAGUUCCUGACCUGGUUCUAGCUGAUUCCCAAGAUGGCGCUACAAUGGAGACUACACAGAUUCUGCCCUGGCCACGGUUCUAGAAGUCCCCCCUUCCCCAGUUGCUUGGCCGUUUAGAACAUACUGGAAAUGGAACCCUCAGCACCUAAGACUCCACUGUCUACCAUCUGAGGUCUUGCCUAAAAUGGCCACCUUCCCAUACUGCCCCCUGCCCCCCUGGGCUCCAGCGGUCAUAGCUAGAAUGACCCCGGGGAGGGGGUGGUGUUGUGGAAGGCAAGGACAAUGGCUUUAGUCCCACCCUGUGCCGUGACCCUGGGUUUAACCUCCCUGCAAAAUGGCGGCUCCAAGGUCCCUUUUGUACACAUCCACCCCAAGGCUCUCACGUACGAGCUUAGGCAAGUCCUUUCCGCCCUGCCCCCCAGUUCCCCCUCUGUAAAGCUGAGUUUGACUUGAGAUGUGUUGGUUUGGCUGCGACCUAAGUUCCCUAAGGGUGCUAAGGCCUGUGAUGUUGGGCCCAGUUCCCAGUUAAAAUCCUGGGGCAGGGGAGUUCCCAGUCAUGUGCGUUACCUUGGUCCUGCCAGCAGAUGGCAGGGAAGAACCACCAGGACACUCAUUUUAGUCAUGGUUUAUUAAAACAGUCAAGAGGCAGCCACGAUGUUUCAAUGGGGGUCCGUGUCGAGGCACAAACUGAGCAAACUAGGCCCAUGGAUGGGAUCUCGGGGCUGGCUGGUAGGUCCGGGCGCUCCAGAAGGCGGGGGAUCUGCUUUGGGGGGCCAUUUUCUCCCGACCAAAGAGAAGACCCAGGCAGGCCGAAUAUCCUCGCCAGGCCUGUGCUUCUUGGGCUCGAUGAGGUUAAUUUUACUGCGUCGCGAUGCUGAGGGCUCCGGCGGCAGUAAGAGGGCCGCUCUCACGCUCUCCCUCUCUUCCUUGGUGUCUUGGCUCAGGCCUCGGUGGGUCAAGUCCCUCCAAAGGGCCGGUGUAUUUGGUGGGAGUCGCAGUGGAUACUUUCUAAUGUAGUAAACCGGGCCCUCUCGGCCCUCACUGGGCCAAGGGCGCUGCCCACCCCCGACCUGGACUUGGCCUGGUAGUUUCUUCUUAAUGUCCACGUUGGAAAGGCAUGGGGGUAGGUGUAGGCAGUCACUGUUCACCAAUAUGGCUCCUGGGUUGGCUGUCUGGGCCCUGCCCACCUCAGGGAGAUUUCCACAGUCUUUACCCAGUUGCCUCUCUGAGUUGGUUGGAUCUUGGCCCCUUGGAAGGGUCAACUUUGAGCGGCAGGAAGAGAACUAGGCCCCUCGUCAGGAUAACCAGCAACAACCCGGUCUGACUGCUAGAGGAUGUUAGCUCGAAAGAGCCGAAAGGCUCUGAGGCCUAUGGGAGACCGAGCAAAGCUAACUGCCGGGUCCUCUGCUGGCACGAGUCCUCGGUGCUUUGGCCAGAGUUUAGAGUUACAGCCCUGGAGCAGGCCGGCCCCAGGAGCUAAUGAAGGGUGAAGGGCACUCCUCACCGAUCUGCACUAGACUGAGGAGAUACACCCUAGAUGGGGUUUUCAGAGUCCAAAAUUGCAUCUGCUGCUGGAGUCAAGCCCCAGGAGCUGCCGGGAGGGGGGGGUGGAGAAAUUACUGGAUAGGGAACAAUGUGUGACCUGGGGCCCUGUCGGUGGUAAAGACCUAUGGGAGGGGAGGCCCUGUAGGUCUGGGAGGGGAGAGAAGCUGUUAUUGGGGCUCCUCAAAAGACAAGGGAAAGAAGUUAGGAUAGCACGGGGAAGCGACGACAACAUGAGGGAGUAAGACAAUCCAAGAGGGGUAUGGGGGAAUGGCAAUGAGGGUGGGAGGGAAAGAGGUGAAGUAAGCCAGAGGGAGGGGGGAAAUCAGAACAGGAGGGAGGGAAAAAGGCAAGACUGGAAUGAGAGUGGGAGGGAAGGCAGGCUGGAAAGUGGGAGCGACGGGGGGAACCAGAGAGGGAGGGAUAGAAGGCCUCUGGGAGGAAACAAGUGAAUGAGGUAGUGUGGGAAUGAGGGCAGGGGGGAUGGGGGAAGGGAACGAAGGAGUCAAUGGAGUGGGAAAGGAGGAUGGAUAGGGUUGAGGGAAGGGGAAGGGAAUGGAGGAAUAAUACAAAGGGGGGAAAAUUGGAAGAACAGAAGCAACGGGAAGGAAGGUGGGUGGGAAGUCUGGAGGGA
ensembl:lncRNA